AAAGGAAAGGUUAGAAAGUGAACAAAAACCUAAUAGUUUUACAAACAAAACUAGUAAAAGAAACAGAGAUCUGGGUAAGGGGGUUGGUUAUGUUAUGGGAAGGUGUUAGGCACCCAAAAUAUCCUAGGUACUCCUAGAGAACCUCUUUUCACACUUGUUGUAAUGUUAUUGUUUUUGUGAAAAUUUAUUGUGCAAACAUGAUUGAAGAGAUGAGAAGAGAAUAUACAAGUUAUUUACAUUUUUGUGUUUGGAUGGAUAAACCCA
rnacentral:lncRNA from 1 species